rnacentral:pre_miRNA from 1 species
AACCGCACGGGAUAAUCUAUUAUCCCAGGCGGUCAUGUUAAGUGAACCGCACGAGAUAAUGGGUUAUCUCCUGUGGUC